GUUACAGAAUACGUGACAUACAUCAUAGACAAGGCAGCCGACACUUUGAGACAGGAGUUGCCUAGUAACACAAAGAUCGUUACAGUGAGGCCAGCAGACGACAACAUAUCAUUGUCCUCCAGUAUCAUCAGCCAAAUUGCUGAUAUGGCUGUUACGGAGAGCCUGUCAAAUAUUGUGAUGGAUGCCGACAUUAACCACUCUGCUAUUAGAGCUCCUAGAACUAUCAAGGAAUUCAAAGAAGCAUUUGGCAUAACCGGAUAUGACAUCAUUGAUGACGGUCUUCCACCUGUAAGCGUGUAAGAGAUCAAGAAGAAGAAAGAAACAGCGUGUGUGUUUUUCUUUGUUUUGUUGUUGUUUUGCUGUUUUUUGGUUGUAUUUUGUGUGUGUUUUUGUUUUGUUUUCUUUCGUUCUUUUUUUGUAUGUCUUCUUGUUCUUUU